GACGAACGCUGGCGGCGUGCUUAACACAUGCAAGUCGAACGGUAAGGCUCCAGCUUGCUGGGGUACACGAGUGGCGAACGGGUGAGUAACACGUGGGUGACCUGCCCUGCACUUCGGGAUAAGCCUGGGAAACUGGGUCUAAUACCGGAUAGGACCAUGGUGUGGAUACUGUGGUGGAAAGUUUUUUCGGUGUGGGAUGGGCCCGCGGCCUAUCAGCUUGUUGGUGGGGUAAUGGCCUACCAAGGCGGCGACGGGUAGCCGGCCUGAGAGGGUGGACGGCCACAUGGGGACUGAGACACGGCCCAGACGCCUACGGGAGGCAGCAGUGGGGAAUAUUGCACAAUGGGCGGAAGCCUGAUGCAGCGACGCCGCGUGGGGGAUGACGGCCUUCGGGUUGUAAACUCCUUUCACCAUCGACGAAGGGUUUCUGACGGUAGAUGGAGAAGAAGCACCGGCUAACUACGUG
rnacentral:rRNA from 1 species